UUAAGUUCAGCGGGUAACUCCUACCUGAUCCGAGGUCAACCGUGGUAAAAUGUGGUGGUGACCAACCCCCGCAGGUCCUUCCCGAGCGAGUGACAAAGCCCCAUACGCUCGAGGACCAGACGGACGUCGCCGCUGCCUUUCGGGCAGUCCCCGGGGGGACCACACCCAACACACAAGCCGUGCUUGAGGGCAGAAAUGAC
rnacentral:misc_RNA from 1 species